UCGCCUCGGCAAGCCCAUCAGAAACCGACUGCUGGCUCUGAUAUCUCUGUGGCGUUUAAACAUGAGAUUUAAUUCAUUUUAAUUUCUUAUACUUAAUAAUAAAAGCUUUACCGGUAUGUUUUAAAUCAUAUUUUAGGAUUGCACUUAAAUGAUAUCGCUGUUGAAUGAUAUUUCAUAUCUUUCACAUUUGUUAUAACUGGGCUGCGUACUGCCUGCGAUUUUGAACUUCAGAGCUGAAGGUGCGAGUGGAGAAAUAGUCCCAAUAUCAUAACAAUCUUAAAACUUCUAAAUAUACCCGUGUGUGUACCCGUGUGCGUGCGUGUGUGCGCGCGCGCGUGCUCGCGUGUGUAUGUAUGUAUGCGCGUGCGUCUGUGUAUUUUGAAUUUAAAAUGUUUUAACUCGGAAGGAUCUGGAUCACAGGUCAUUUCAUCUGAGAUCAAUCCGCACGCAACAGCUUGAAUCACUCACUGAUUCACACAAGGGAGGACACAAGUCAGCCGUUUCCUCAAGUUCACGUCAGAGCGGAAAUCAUGUGAGGGGCGGACCAGAAGGAUACAUAGCGAGACAGUCUCCGCUUGGACUGGCUGAGGAAAGUCUCCUAAAUGGCCCUGGAGAUGUUCUGACUGACUUUGGAGGCUUUUUGGACUGUUUUAUGCCCUCUAUUUAAAGAAGACUUAAUUCUGUAUGUUCAGUCUGUAUGAUAAGUGAAUAAAAAGCUUUUGUUUUUAUGUGA